UUGAAGUUCUUUGUAGGCAUCUACAGUUCUGUGCAGUUUAUCAUUUUCUGCUCGCAGUGCACAUUCUUUUCGUUGCCAUCGUUUUCUUUCUACAAACAGGCUUGAAGUGUUUGAGUCCCAUUUUGUCUAUGUCCUGAACGAGCGCAAAGCCUUUGUUGGUUGCCUUUUCUUCUUACAUGCAAACUUCACUGAAUCUGUUAGAGCGCUCUGAUUUUCAGGCUCUGAAAAAUGCGUGCCAUCGUUUUCUGAAUUAGUUUGUAAACCACUAGAUGACAAGGAACCAAUCGGAGUAGUACAGCCAGGGCUUUGAUUAGGCAGAGUCCUCGUUUAGUGUAUCUUUAGUGGCUGCCACGCCAAACGAAAGAUCGCUCAUAGUGGGUCGUUCUUGGUUUCGCUGGACAAGUUCCAAACUGCAGCCGGGUACAGCUAUUGGGCAAAAUUGUGGCAGUUCCAGAA
rnacentral:lncRNA from 1 species